AUUGAACGCUGGCGGCAUGCCUAACACAUGCAAGUCGAACGAGACCUUCGGGUCUAGUGGCGCACGGGUGCGUAACGCGUGGGAAUCUGCCCUUAGGUUCGGAAUAACUUCGGGAAACUGAAGCUAAUACCGGAUGAUGACGUAAGUCCAAAGAUUUAUCGCCCAAGGAUGAGCCCGCGUAGGAUUAGCUAGUUGGUGAGGUAAAGGCUCACCAAGGCGACGAUCCAUAGCUGGUCUGAGAGGAUGAUCAGCCACACUGGGACUGAGACACGGCCCAGACUCCUACGGGAGGCAGCAGUGGGGAAUAUUGGACAAUGGGCGAAAGCCUGAUCCAGCAAUGCCGCGUGAGUGAUGAAGGCCUUAGGGUUGUAAAGCUCUUUUACCCGGGAUGAUAAUGACAGUACCGGGAGAAUAAGCUCCGGCUAACUCCGUGCCAGCAGCCGCGGUAAAGUGACUACUG
rnacentral:rRNA from 1 species